GAUGAACGCUGGCGGCGUGCCUAAUACAUGCAAGUCGAGCGAACAGACGAGGAGCUUGCUCCUCUGACGUUAGCGGCGGACGGGUGAGUAACACAUGGAUAACCUACCUAUAAGACUGGGAUAACUUCGGGAAACCGGAGCUAAUACCGGAGAAUAUAUUGAACCGCAUGGUUCAAUAGUGAAAGACGGUUUUGCUGUCACUUAUAGAUGGAUCCGCGCCGCAUUAGCUAGUUGGUAAGGUAACGGCUUACCAAGGCAACGAUGCGUAGCCGACCUGAGAGGGUGAUCGGCCACACUGGAACGGAGACACGGUCCAGACUCCUACGGGAGGCAGCAGUAGGGAAUCUUCCGCAAUGGGCGAAAGCCUGACGGAGCAACGCCGCGUGAGUGAUGAAGGUCUUCGGAUCGUAAAACUCUGUUAUUAGGGAAGAACAAAUGUGUAAGUAACUAUGCACGUCUUGACGGUACCUAAUCAGAAAGCCACGGCUAACUACGUG
rnacentral:rRNA from 1 species